UUCUUUAGAUUUCGAUGCUGCUUGGACUACCUUCUCACAGCAUUGCUGCUUUUCUUACGACUGUGGAUCAGAGGUGCUUCUACCCCAGAGGACCUCUACUCCAUAAGCUUUGUCACUGCUGGUCAUUCUUCUCUCACCAGUCCUCAGCUUUCCCUCUACCUCAAUUUUACUUCUACCUACUAGCAAGAGGGAAGAAGAUAACUGUCUACUUCACCAACAGUUCUUCAACAGUUCCUAAAAAUGAAUGAUAUAUAUUUUGAUGCAGGUAUUUCCAUCUCUGAAAUUGUUGUUUAUAGAACAACUUACAAUUGUUUUUGUUUAUACAAUUGUUUAUACAAUUGUUGUUUUAAGAACAACUUUAAAAAUAUAAUGAGAUGAAUUUAGUUUUCCUGUCAUUUUCCCUCCUAAUUGCACUCAUUGGGGUACAAUAGAUCUAAUCCAAUCCUUCUACAUAUGACGACUCUUCAUAUAUUUGAUGACAACCACCAUGUCCUUCACGUCUCCUGUGAGAUUCUUCUUUCUUAGGCAAGACUUUCCUAUUGUCUUUGAAUCGAUCAUUCCUUAUUGGAUAUGGCUUUGAAUCUCUUCUCUCUCUUGCUUUCUCUCCUUCAUAUGCCCUUUACUUUGUCUUUAACCAUUACUCCAGCAGUGGUUUGAAUAAUAGAGAACAAAGUUGGAUUAUUACUUCUUCUUGAUCUAAUUACUAUUCAUCUAUGAUUCAGCAUACAUGUACAGGGCUUUUUAUUUAAUUUUGAAUAUUAAUCUCAUUUUAAAAAAUCUCAAAUUGAGUUUGACUAAUUUGAGUCUUCCCUGAUUAGGUUUCCCUGCACAUUUGCUGCAGUGAAAUGGUGCCCCUUCUUUCACUUCACUUCCAUAGCACUCACUUUAAGUGUGGUACUUUUCUAAGUACUUUAAAUACAUUAACUCAAUUAAUUCUUAAACAACCUUAUGAGAUUGGAACUAUAAUUAACCCCAUUUUUAAAGAUAAAACAAGUCACAAUGAGGUCAAAUGAUUGUCAAAAGUCAUACAGCCAUUGACAAAGAAUGUUGCCAGAAUCUGUACCCUGACAGCCCUGCUCCAGAGUUUGUGCUCUGGACCAUGAUUGGACCAUGAUGCUCUAAUACUCAUAAUCCUGUUGUAAUCAAGAACAAGACCUUCCAUUAUCCCUGCGAAAUUUCAUGUCAUAAGAUUUACUCCAAUUUUUUCGGUCUGUCAGGAGUCUUUUUGUCCUGACUGUGUCGUCCAAUGCAUUCAGUAUCCCUAACAAGUUCAUGUCUUGCAUAAAUAUAAAAACAAUUUAUUAAAGUACUCUAUCUAUCUAUCUAUCUAUCUAUCUAUCAAUCAUCAAUAUAUUUAGAAGUGACAUAUCAUUCAUCAUCUGUUCACAUGUUCUGAGAGCCAUCAGCUGAUGAAAAUUUUACUGUAUCUCAAGUUAAAUGCACAAUGUCUAUGCCAUCUCUUCCUAACCUUUAUUUCAUAUUCUAGUAAAGAAUUUUGAGCCAUAGUGACUGGCAGAAAGUUUCCUGGAUCUCUGAAAAGGAAACAAAGGACACCUAUUGAGCUGAAAGUUAAAAGGCAAACUGUAUGAACUUCAGGUUUCCUUCUAGGCAAUGAUCACGGAAACAGAAGAUAAAACUCGGCAGACAUUAAGUUUGGUGGAAGUCCUUUGACAUUAAAAAGGAUCAUAAACAUCCUGCGUUUAGAGGGAUUUGUCCAACAAUUGUGUAGAAGGUAGCAGGAACAAAUGAUAGCUAGAGCCAUGCUAUGAAUCCAGGAGGUUAGAAGAAAAUGUAGAAAUUGUUGCCAGUAUAGAAUGCUGGGAUUGUAACUUCAUAAGGACUCUGCCAUAAUGACCUGAAAAGGUGUUGAUCCUCUUUAUUUUUUUAUAUUUAUUUAAAUUCAAGUUAGUUAACAUAUAGUGUAGUAUUGGUAUCAGGAAUAGAAUUUAGUGAUUCAUCACUUAAAUAUAACACCUAGUGCUCAUUGCAACAAGUGUCUUCCUUAAUGCCCGUUACCCAUUUAACCCAUCCCCCGUCUUGCCUCCCCUCCAGCAACCCUCAGUUUGUUCUCUGUAUUUAAGUCUCUUAUGGUUUGCUUCCCUUUCUGUUUUUAUCUUAUUUCAUUUUUCCUUCCCUUCCCCUAAGCUCAUCUGUUUUGUUUCUUAAAUUCUACAUAUGAGUGAAAUGAUACGAUAUUUGUCCUUCUCUGACUGACUUAUUUCUCUUAAAGGUGAUGAUCUUCUUAAAAAGAAAUAUAUACACUGCACUGAAAGAGGUAUGAAUAUGCCUUAUAAUAUGUAACAUUGUAUAGUAUUUGGCCAAAACAGGUAGUUAAUAAUGAUCAGUUUCUUUAGUUUUCUCUUAAGUCAAGUAUUAAUAUACCUACCAGUUUUAGAUAUCCAUAGGGUACAAGUUAGAAGCUAGACAGUCUUUUAAACUGUCUUCUUGUAGCGAUACAGGGAGACAACAAAUACAGAAAAAGUUAUUUGUCUUGUUUAUUAUCAUAACCCUAGGGUAGGGCUUCUCAACAACACUUUGAGAGCUGGAUAAUUCUUUAUUGUGAAACACUGCUCUGUACAUUGUAGGAUGCUUUGCAGAAUAUCAGCCUGGCCCCUACUCAUUGGAUGCCAGUAGCAUCUUCUCAGUUGUGAUAACCAAAAAUGUGUCCAGACAUUGUCGUAUGUUCUGUGGGGGACAAAAUUUCCUUCAUUGAGAACUACUGAGUUAGAACAUCAAACAUAGUGGACACUCAAAUAUUUAUUAAUGAAUAGAAAAAUUAAAUGAAUGAAAUCUUUUCUGCUGUUCACAUUCAUAUUAAUUCUUCAUUGUUUAACACAUUAAGUGAGAAGGGCUAGAAAUUGGGUUAUGAGAGAGAGAAUUUUUGUUAGACAGUAUUCCCAGCCAAGAGGAACAUGUAUUUGAAUUCGAAUCCCACACAAAUCAGCAGAAACUCUUCUACUAUUUGGUGAACCUUGGAUUAUGCACCUACCAAAACUUCUCCCUGGAUGAUGACUAAAAUUCUACCAUUUGCAACUCAUUCCUUUACUCCAGUUUCCCUUUUCCUGAAAAGAAAAUUUGUUAAAAAACAAAUACCUCAGGAAUAAUUGCUUAAUUAUCAUUGUUAACAAGAAUGAGAUCAUGCAUUUGAUUUUUUUCCCUACGCAACAGGAUAUGAGCAAUGGGGAGCCCCCUUGGGCCUUUGCAAAUUUUAGAGGCCAUUACAUUGGAGGGAAGCAGAAAUAAAGGCAAACUUCAUGAACUAAGUUUCACCGCUGAAUUUCCAAGGCAGUCCCACCAGUGUUGUUUAUUAAAUUCACAUCACAGUUUUCAGGAUGCUAUCUUUGCAUGCUCUUUCCUCAGGGACUUACAGCAAACAUUAAAUACCCAAAUAUUCAACCUCAUGAUACCUGGAAAUUUAAGUUUCCUGUUCUAAUUGCUAAUCUCAUGGUCAUUAUUUAAUAGUUUUCUUAAAUAGUUGUUAAUUUGGAGAUUACAUUUUCCCAUUUUGUAUUUCCAAAAUUGUUGAUAUCUGUGAAGAAUUAGUGCUAAAGCCUUUCAGAUUUAGUCACAAGAGUUCUCAGCCAAGCCACAACCUUUGGGCAUAAGCUGCUAAGAUUCUUUCUUUGGAGCAAGCACUGGUAUUUGAUAUUCAAGUGCUUGCUUGACUUGAUUUCUGCUUAUUAUUAGUUAAAAUACAUUUGUUAAAAUAUCUUUAUGCGUGCCCUGAAAUCUACAUCAUGGACAAUUUUUGUGCUUUACUGACUGAUUAAAAUAAUGAGUUUGAGUCUCCCACUUAGAGGUUGUCAUUCCUGUCUUUUAAGCACAGGUGCAGUAAUGUUACCAACAGAAGAGUGGAGGUAUUUCCUCCUGACCAAUACAAAUUACCACAUAGUAUAAAGGGCAGUAGGGAUAUUCCUCACAAAAAAAUUUUACAUGGAGCAAACUGAGCUGCUUGCAGUAGUAGAUGGUUACCUUCAAGCUGUCCCUGGGAUAGUGUAUUUGGUUCAAUUCAAUGCCCAUGUUUUUUAUACCUAUUGAAACUGAGGAGAAAAGAGGCAAAGAAGGUUACUUGCUGGGCUGAGAAGAUUUCCUUUUUGGAUAUUUAAGUAUUAUGGGCAUUUCUUUGCAUGUUUAUUUACUCAUCUAGUUCUUGCCAAAAUAAGAGGGAAUUAUGACAAUAUUAGGAAAGAUUUCACAAUCAGAUCUAUCUAUAUCUUUAUGGCCUCUUUGAAAUAUGAAUCAUAUUGGCCUUUGCUAUGAUAUUUCUAGAAGCCUUUCAUUUAUCUGUGUGGGAGAAACUUCUGAUGAAUGAUUCAGUACUCAGAAUAUCUAUAACUAUAGUAAACAUCUUUAUCCAUAAUAUUUGGUUCCUUUUACAAUCUGGGUUUGUUUCAUGAGAAAAAAAAGGUACUUUAUAACUUCUUCAUUAUUCAUUUCUGGGCUUGC
rnacentral:lncRNA from 1 species